rnacentral:rRNA from 1 species
UAGGGAAUCUUCCGCAAUGGACGAAAGUCUGUCGGAGCAACGCCGCGUGAGUGAAGAAGGAUUUCGGUUCGUAAAACUCUGUUGUUAGGGAAGAAAAAAUGUAUAGUAACUAUAUACAAAAGAGACGGUACCUAACCAGAAAGCCACGGCUAACUACGUGCCAGCAGCCGCGGUAAUACGUAGGUGGCAAGCGUUGUCCGGAAUUAUUGGGCGUAAAGCGCGCGCAGGUGGUUUAGAAAGUCUGAUGUGAAAGCCCACGGCUCAACCGUGGAGGGUCAUUGGAAACUAAUAAACUUGAGUGCAGGAGAGAAAAGUGGAAUUCCUAGUGUAGCGGUGAAAUGCGUAGAGAUUAGGAGGAACACCGGUGGCGAAAGCGGCUUUUUGGCCUGCAACUGACACUGAGGCGCGAAAGCGUGGGGAGCAAACAGG